AGUCGCGUGGUCUAGUGGUUAUGAUUCGUCGUUCACAUCUUACCGAUGGUGUACCGUCGAGGUCGCCGGUUCGACCCCGGCCGCGACUA